ensembl:lincRNA
AUGAGAGUGAUAGACAGUUUCCCUUCAAAGAACUGCAAGAUGGCUAUAAGGACAUCUGUCCCCAUGCCAGAAACAAGAUCUCUUAGAUGCUGUAAGCCAAAAGGGGCAAAAAGCCUCUCAGCCCUCAUCACCAACAUGAGGAGUCAGAGAUCAGGUGAGCCCAAACUGGCUCUCCGUCAUCUAACAAGGCACUGGGGAAGGGACAGGACACCCUUCCUCUGUGGGUGCCUCUCCUCCCUAACUCUCUGGUCCAGGCAGCCCAGGAGGCAGCAGCUAUUAGCCACCUUAAUUUGCUCUCAGCUAGAUUGUAUUUCCAAGAGCCUGUUCCCCAGGAGCCACUGGCAGGAAGCAGUCAGUAAUCCAACCUCCGCUCUGCUCCUGCAGCAGCUCCUCCGCAAAGAGGCCCAGCCACACCCACCCCUGGCGCGGGCCUGGCCCAAGUGCCCCCAAGCUGAGCCAGGGAGGGCCUCAGGUGAGGUGCCAGGUGGACGCAAGUAAGCAGGGGAUCGAAGCCCGAAUCUACUCACAAUGAAGCGUCAGCACUCCCUACUCGGAAGCCGGAAAACCAGGACAGCAGCUCCUGCAUGUUACCUGGACAGGGUAUUACCUGCCACGGCCCAGCUGGCCAGGGGCCUGGACCAGGAGGGAGUUCUGGGGUGAGGGCGGGCAGAGGGCACCACCCAGUCACCGCCCUUUCAGAAGGACAGGCAGGCUGGCUGGGACCUUGCUCGUAGCCUGGCCCACAAGGAACUGUUCUCCAAAACUCUUCCGGAGGCCCUGACUCUGCUCACCAGUCUCCUGCUUAAUCACGCAAGAGAGAACAGAAAAGCAGGAAGAUUCCUAAGAAAAAUAGGUCAGCUGCCUCAGGCAGGCUGAGCUGGCUCCCUUGGGCAGUGCCCCGGCAGGACCAGGCUACAAGCUGCCUCUGCACCCAGCUCCCACCCCCCAGGGACCAAGUCCUUUCUCCAUUCGGGAGUCUGGCCAAGGUCAGAGCCACCUCUUAGCAAGUCAGACCCGUCUUCUGCGUCCCCUGGCUCUGCCUGUGUGUCCCCCACUGAGGCUUUCUCUCAGAGCUCAGUCUCCCUUCAGCCCAGCCCCAGGGCCGAGCCUCCAACUUUGGGAGCUUCUGGGCUGUCCAUACUCAGGUGUGGAGCAGAGGGUGGGAAAAGCCGGGCGUCUGCUCCAAGUCUAGCCUCAGUGCCACCCACGGCCAUCAGCAAUCAGACAGGAAGGAUGCCCCAGCUCGCGCCUGGAGACUCUGGGUCUCCUGUCUGCUACAUUCAUGUGCAUACGCAUACACACAGUUGCGCACACAGGCAGGCACACACACACAGAUGUGUGCAGGCACUUCUAGCAGCUACCACCAAUGACGGCUCUUUCCACAGUUCGCAUUCACUCUCUCACACAAACUGCUUCACCCAUCACCGGGCACAGACAGGAGAGAGCUGCCCUGGGACCCUGGCCUAGCCCAAGGAGGCAAAGGACUGGAGGGGGUUGGGGAGCGGGGGAGGGAGUGUGGCUCUCCCUAUGGGCCAGGUCCACUCCCACCCCCUCAGUGCAGCAAGGCCCUGACAGCUAGGCCUAAGGCAGAGAGAUCUGAGGAUGGAGAGCACAGGGCUCAGAGCCAGGAGAGGCCAGCCAGAGAGAGGCUGGAGUUCAGCAUCUCCCAGCCAGGCAGCCUCUACUCCUUUGCGUAACUGGAUCCUAGCUUUCUGUCUCAGAACCUCAAACCUGAAACCACCACCAGCCCUGGGACUGGCAGCUCCAGGUCAGCACACAAGACAAGCUUGGGGCCAGCAGCUGAAAGCUGACUCUUCCCACACAUCCCCUCCUCAGCUUCUCCCAAACGCAUGCUGCCAGACACACCCCUGCCUGCCUCCAGCCGCGGGUGCUGGGGACACAAACACGCAUGCCACGUCCUGAGCCAAGUCCCGCUCAGCUGAGAGGCUGCCUGUGGGGGUAUCUCUAGCAGAUUCCAGACCUAAAUGCCCUCCCUCGUGCCUUCACCACCAAAGGGAGGGAGGGAAGGCCAGGCUGAGAGCAGAGGGCAUUAGUCCAGCUACCAGCACUGUCCGGGUUAGAACCCGCUUUAUCUGGGGACAGCAGUAAGCCAGGCACAGAAUCUGUGGUCCACAAGAAGAGGCAGCCUUGGCGAUAGAGGCCGGGGUCCUCCGCACCAGUCUGCUCAGAGAAGGCCUCGGACGCAGACUCCACUCACCACCUUCCAGGCUCUCUGCACGCCCUCCCCAGCCUCCACACUGCCCCCAGACACACAGGAUUCAAGCCCACCCCUCUCUCUGUCCCAAGCCUUUCACUCCUCUGCUGGAGCAACCCCUGCUCAGCCAGACCCUAAGACCAGCAUCUCGAAGUCCCUCCCGUCAAGAAUCUCCUGGAAGUCACCUCUGCCAGUUAGAGAACAGCUGAGCUCUCACAGCAGCAUCUGAAACGCUGGCCUGUCAGCCCAUCUCCCAUUCCUGGAGGCCAUAGAGAUGAUGCCUCCUGGGUAUCCUGCAGCUUCUCCACCAGGUUCCAGCCACUGACACAACUCCAGUUCAGCAGAUCUUUCAAAGCAUUUCUGAGCAGCCCUCCACAUCUCCCUGGGCAAGGUCAGCGGGGAAGGCAAACUUGGUUCUGGACAGAGGCAACUGUCUGAACUCUCCCUGAGGACAUUCCCAGCUCCCAGUGCCCUGAACCAUUCAGGGGAAAGAAAUGGAACCAAGAUGAUCAUCAGUUACUUACUCAUGACUUAGCAACUAAACCACCACUACCACAGAACACUCAGCCAGCCCCUCAUUUCUUCAUGGCACUAAUGUUCACAAAUACCCCCACAAGCUCGUACUGUUGACCCCCAAUAAGGCAAGUGACAAUCAGAGAAGCGAAGCAAUGUCUCCAAGGUCACAGGCCAGCAAGUAGCAGUGCUGGAACUUGAGUCCAGACCCUUUACCACCACACACAAGAGCCCCUAGGCUAAAAAGACACCCCCCUCCCCAAAACCCACAUUAAUGGCAGGCCGGGGUUCAUGUCCAGCCACCCCCAGCAGAAGGACCUCUCCAUUCCCAGAAAGAAGUCAGAAGCUCCAGAACCAAUAACCUUCAAUGCUGGGAAGUCCUUCCUUCUGUCUGGCCCUUCUGUGUGCUGCUGUAAUAUAAGCACACAUUUCCCUUGAUUCUGUGCUGAAACUUGCAAAAAGUCCAUCCUCCUCCCUGGACUUCUCAGGUUGGGAUCCUAUUUCAGAGCCUCCCUUCGACGUCUCUCUUUUAUUCAAACAUCCCGAUACAUCCUUUUGUGAGACAGUCCCAUAGCAGGAAUAUACCACAAACUGAAGGGGAGGAGAUGCUGGCAUCAGAAGAGUACAAGGCAAUAGAGAAGGGGCGAGCACUGAGGCUGGAGACAAGUUCUCAAGGGCAGCUCACCUCACACACCCCCACCCCAGAGCUUCUGGUCUGUUUCCCCACCUGACAAUCCUGAGUUUUAAAACCACCCGGGGUCACACACCAUAUAAUAAAAUCACUCUUCUCUUGGCCUUCCUCUGCCUCUGUUUUCACACCUCCGCAAACACCAGCGAGAUCGAUCCCAUUCCAGAAACUUUCCCAAAUCACUCCCCCUCCCCCUAAACAGCCCCAGACAAGGUGAGCAAAGGGUCCUCCUGCGCGAGCGCUGCCGGGCGCUGGUUCUUCCGCUGCGGGUCCUCCUACUGCUUGCUGUCCACCGGACGGUUCUCCCCGGAAGCCAUCCUGGCCGGCCCUGGGGACCUGCCCGCAGCUGGGUCGUGUCUGCGCGCUGAACGUCGCGCGCUCAGAGUCCAUAGCAGGGCGGAGAGCCGAGGUGCCACACACAGGCGUGCGGGCCGCUCUGCGGUCUCCAGAGCAAGAGCCCGCGUGCUCACGCGCGCAUCACCCAGCUCACUGGCUUCCCUCUACCCGCUUCCCAGCUCAGACCGGAAACACAGAAAGAGGAAAACCUCCCUCCGCCCCGAGACGCGGCAGUGGAGACCCCCUCCCGUUGCUCUCGCCCACAGCAGCUGUGGCCAGCUGUAGCCG